GUCAGGAGGAGCGGUAGAGAAGAAAACCUGUGAAUGAGCCCAUUAGAGCUAACAUGGCCAAACGUCGUUCGCCUUAUUAAAGAUAUUUGGAGGAUUACACAGCAGAGAUCCCAAGGAGUACCAAGCACAGAUGGAAAGUAAAAGACAGAACUGCAGGACUACACAGAAGAACACAUAAGUCACCCUGUUGCAUCCCGCAGAGAAGUUACAGAUGUUGACAGCAGGAGUUCCUCCACUAUAAGGGUUUUGGACAUUGCCUUUCAACAGGGCUCUGAAGACCAAGCAGAUGGUGACAACCCCCUAUAUCCUGGUGCAUCUUUUUUCAAGGGAGAAAGUCUACUGAUGCUCAUGUUAUAUGUGCUGCGACACAAUUUAACAAGCAAAGCAGUUACUCACUUAUUGGAAAUGUUUAACCUAAAGUUUCCAGGUCUGAUUUUACCCAUUUCCACAAAGAAUUUAGAGGUUCAUCAUAAUCUGAAGUUAACUUUUAUUGUGAAAAAUGCCUUGUAUACCUUGGCAAUAGUGCACACUGUUACAAUCAUUGUAACCUUUGCAACACAGCGUUUUAGGCCAACAGGAGUUUAAAAAAUGACUUCUACUUUCUGGUAAUUCACCUUCAUGAUUAAUUAAUGACUUGGUUAUUUUUAAACAAACUGGUUCAAAUAAAAUUUCUGCUUUGUGUUCAUGUGCCAGACUAUGUUUUGUUUUAGUUGAAGUAUUUGCUAAUUCAGAGAGACCUUUAUGUAAAGAUUCACAGAUCAAUAUACAAAGUACUUUCUUGUUUGAGGUUAAAAAGCCUGACAUGAUUCUAACCAAAUGUGUUGUUGUUGAAAGAGAUAGUGCUGUGUACAUAAAACCACUGCCUGCCAAAUGCUUGUGAAAGAGACUAGAACUUGUCCAAUAAAGUCAGUCACAUGUUUCCCUG